rnacentral:rRNA from 1 species
AGCGAACGCUGGCGGCAUGCCUAACACAUGCAAGUCGAACGAGACCUUCGGGUCUAGUGGCGCACGGGUGCGUAACGCGUGGGAACCUGCCCUUAGGUUCGGAAUAACUCCCCGAAAGGGGUGCUAAUACCGGAUAAUGUCUUCGGACCAAAGAUUUAUCGCCUUUGGAUGGGCCCGCGUUGGAUUAGCUAGUUGGUAGGGUAAAAGCCUACCAAGGCGACGAUCCAUAGCUGGUCUGAGAGGAUGAUCAGCCACACUGGGACUGAGACACGGCCCAGAAUCCUACGGGAGGCAGCAGUGGGGAAUAUUGGACAAUGGGCGAAAGCCUGAUCCAGCAAUGCCGCGUGAGUGAUGAAGGCCUUAGGGUUGUAAAGCUCUUUUAGCCGGGAUGAUAAUGACAGUACCGGGAGAAUAAGCACCGGCUAACUCCGUG